CACGUAGGGGGCGAGCGUUGUCCGGAAUCAUUGGGCGUAAAGAGCGUGUAGGCGGCCAGAUAGGUCUGCUGUGAAAACUCGAGGCUCAACCUCGAGAUGUCGGCGGAAACCAUUUGGCUAGAGUCCGGAAGAGGAAAGUGGAAUUCCUGGUGUAGCGGUGAAAUGCGCAGAUAUCAGGAAGAACACCCGUGGCGAAGGCGGGUCUCUGGGCAACAACUGACGCUGAGGAGCGAAAGCGUGGGGAGCGAACAGG
rnacentral:rRNA from 1 species